rnacentral:pre_miRNA from 1 species
AGUGGAAUUGCUGGGUCAUAUGGUAACUCCAUAUUUAAUUGUGUGAGAAACUGCCAGACUGUUUUCCAAAGUGGCUGUACCAUUUUACAUUCCCACCAGUAGU